UACGUAGGGUGCGAGCGUUGUCCGGAAUUACUGGGCGUAAAGAGCUCGUAGGUGGUUUGUCGCGUUGUUCGUGAAAACUCACAGCUUAACUGUGGGCGUGCGGGCGAUACGGGCAGACUUGAGUACUGCAGGGGAGACUGGAAUUCCGGGUGUAGUGGUGAAAUGCGUAGAGAUCCGGAGGAACACCAGUGGCGAAGGCGACACGCUGGGCCGUACCUGACACUGAUGCGCGACAGCAUGGGGAGCAAACAGG
rnacentral:rRNA from 1 species